rnacentral:rRNA from 1 species
AGAUUGAACGCUGGCGGCAUGCUUUACACAUGCAAGUCGAACGGCAGCACGGGGGCAACCCUGGUGGCGAGUGGCGAACGGGUGAGUAAUGCAUCGGAAUCUGCCCUGAUGUGGGGGAUAACGUAGGGAAACUUACGCUAAUACCGCAUAUGCCCUACGGGGUAAAGCGGGGGAUCGUAAGACCUCGCGCUGGUGGAUGAGCCUACGUCCGAUUAGUUAGUUGGUGGGGUAAAGGCCUACCAAGGCUACGAUCGGUAGCUGGUCUGAGAGGACGACCAGCCACACUGGGACUGAGACACGGCCCAGACUCCUACGGGCGGCAGC